AUGGACGCGGAAGAUGAGCUGCCCAUUUGGUCAAAGGAUGUUGAUGGCGCCAGAGAGGAAAUAUUUCAGUUUAUUCGAUUCGAGAACAACUUGAAGGUCAUCUAUAUUGAUGGUUGGGAUGGAUUCGGGGCGUCCGCCAUUCUUAGAUCCAUAGCAGAAGUGCUCCCAUCUAGGAGAACCACUCCAGAACUAUGCUUUGACAGAAUAAUUUAUAUAGAUUGCUCUCAGUGGAAAAAUAGAAGAGCAGUGCAGAGGUCAAUUGCAGAGGAACUGCAACUUGACCACUCAGUGAUGGCCAUUCUAGAUAAGCAGGAUGAAGAGGAUGAUUUUAACAAAGUUGAUGAAAGCUCAAGGAAUGAGAUACACAGUGUCGGGAAAGUGAUUAAUCAAACCCUGAGGGGCGCCAAGUUGAUGAUGAUUUUUCUUAAUGGAAGUGAUGAAGAGGUUGACAUAAGCACCUUUGGCAUUCCUCUUGCAAUAUUUGACAACAAUAUAAUAAUAUGGACCUUUAGCAGAAGAUGCAUGACCAUGAAUCACAUCCAUUCAAAGGUAGCAGACAAGCUAAGAUAUACUCAUGCUUUCUCUCAUUUCUAUCAUUCAAUCAAAGAAUUUUCAUGGGCGGAGUUUCUGCGACUGUUGUAUCAACAAGCUGUUGCCAUAGUUGCUCGCAAUCCAUUUGUGCCAGAAAUCGACCCAGCAAUGGUUGCAGAUUGUUGUCUCUAUGAGUUAUUCCUGCAUUAUAAUUUCCACACUGUCACUGAAUAUAAUUGGGUUGGUCAUGCUUCCAACUUUUGGAUAUGUGAUGCAAUCAUACAAGGGGACAGGGAAAUGGAUAUUAGUAAUUUGUUGCAUAGAGAGAUAAAUUGGGUGUGUGAUUCCUCUUUGCCUGAUGGUGUGCUUGAAGAGUUCAUGGGAGAUUUGGAGACUCUUUUUUGGGUAGCUACAGAUGACUAUGUCUACGAAGAAGGUCCAUACCGUUGGAUAUCAAUCACAUCAAGCAAAAUUGAUUUGCGAACUAUAUUGAUGCGCAAAGAACAAAGCAAUAUGGAAAUACAGGGCUUGCGAACUAUACCUGUAGAGACAUCAUCUUUCUUCUUGGCAUUUGAAAGUUCUAGUCAACAACGAUGUUUACCAGAUGGCUUGUUUGAAUGUGCCAACAAGCUUGGUGUGCUAAUUCUCAGUUGUUGUGCCUUCGAUUUUGCAUCACCCCCUUUCCAUAAGUGUCAGAGGCUAAGAUUCCUUGGAUUGGACCAUUGUACAAAUAGUAAAUCAGGUGAAGGAGAGGAUAAUGCAGAGUGGACAUAUUUAUGUAGCGUAUCGGUGUUGGACCUACGUUACACAGAAUGGAAUGAAAUCUUAUGUGAAGAAAAGAUGGAUCUCAUGACUAACAUCAUAGAGCUAAAUAUAGAGGGAGUCUGGAGUCAGCAGUACAUAGGUGACCUACAAGGUCGACUACCUAACCUCCAGAGGCUACGGAUAACCAAACCAAUAUAUAAGGGGAAGCCAUCAGAGGAUUUUGGUAACUCUUUUGUAGAUAAGACAAGUAUGAAAAUACUUGACUUGUCAGGGAACAGUGACAUGCAAAUUCUUCCAGCAAGCAUAUCGAAGGCAAGUAGCCUUCAGUUGCUUGUACUUGAUGGUUGCAAUGGACUGGAAAGCGUUGGCGGGCUUCCUUCCUCCCUUGAAUCCUUUAGCUUUAAUGGACAUGGGCCAGCUUCUCAAUGGACACAAACUGUUGCGCUACCUCCGGAACAAUUUCGCCCGUCCACAAUUGAAGACUUUAAGAUGGAUAUUAGAGUGUCUGAGAUCUCCUUAGCAGGCUGCACACAAUUGAAGAACCUGUUUUUGUGUUGGUUACCCAACCUUGUGGAAUUGGACCUCUCUGGAAUUGCAAUCAAGAUAUUUGACUUGAAUACUAUGGUGGUGCAAGUCCCGAAGCUCAAGAGAGUAUUUCUAAUAGGAUGCACGCGACUUCGUGCAAUAAUUCCAUUGCAUGAGAGUGGCUCUGAGAUAAAACAAGAAUUGGAGUUAUUGUGCAUAGACACCCGAGUUGGAACAGUGUGUUCUCGGCCAUCCAUCAACAGGGCCAAACGCUUCAAGUUCGAAUUGCAUGUUGUUGCCGCGGAUGCGAGGCUUACUCGCUCUGUGAAGGGUCUCUUGUUGCCUUAUGUACAAAAAGGCAUAAUGAAGGAUGUUUCUUGUAAUAUCCAUGUCACCUCCUCGGCUGUGCACACUGAAGUUGUUCAAUUUGAAGCAACCAGCCCAAGUGAUCAAGAGAGUUUGCAACAGCUUAUUCCAGCAGGCCCGUAUAGUGAUGUCCUUGGCAUGGUUGGCAAUCCCCCGAUGCAGGAUUUCCCGCAAGCUCCGACGACUACAAAGCGGGACCAUCAUAUAGAGAUUGCUAAAGGGAGCUGCUAUGUGGAGAACGAACUGCUAGGAGAUCUAGGUUAUUUGGUGGGAACUAGUGCCGAAUCACUGCAUGUGCACGACGCAUCGAUACGUAACAUUGCUCUUUAUGAGUUUUAUCAGUUUGCCCUUAGGUGGUGCUGCGUGGAGAGGUGCCCCGAGUUGGAUGUCGUCUUCCCUUCGGCAUCGACUGGAUUGAAUGUACUGCAGACCUUCUGGGCGUCGGAUCUCCUAACAGCCCGCUGGAUUUGGGGUAAAGCUUCAUACAAGGGUUUCUUUUCCCACACCACCAAUACCUUUCCAAAUUUACAGCACCUCCACCUGCGCUCCUGCCCUAGACUCCAGUUUGUGGUCCCGCUGUACGGCUUGUCCUUCCCCAGCUUGAAGACCCUCCACAUCAUCCACUGUGGCGACCUCGUGCAUGUCUUCGAGCUAAACAUGGAUUACCCAGAGGAAGUAACCACCCUCAGUGUAAGAUUUCCGAAGCUGACCGCCAUCCACCUGCACGACCUCCCGAAGCUUCAGAAGAUAUGCGAGGUCAAGAUGGUGGCGCCCGCGCUCGAGAGUAUCAAGAUCAGAGGGUGCUGGAACCUGCACCGGCUUCCAUCCGUGGGCGCCCGUGGCCAGGGCGAGAAGAAGCCGGCGGUCGAGAUCGAGAAGGACGCGUGGGACGCUCUGGAGUGGGACAACGACCACCGCCCCGACCACUUCGGAACGCCGGUCCACUCGCGCUACUACAAGGAGAAGCUGCCCAGGGUCUCUGUUCUGAGGUGA
rnacentral:rRNA from 1 species